CCAAGAUCAAGUUUCCAGCAAUGCAGUAUCUGGCGAGACCAUCUUUUCCCAUGAUGAAAAGGGCAAGGCUUCAAGAACUAACGGUGACAGAAGACAACAAAUCUCUGAUAUGUUUUCCUAAUGCCUUCCCAAUCAAAAUGAACGACUCCCACGUUCAGCACAAUUCACCGUAAUCAAGCUGCGGAUAUGGAGAUGAGCGAUACCAGGCUAUUGCCUUUACGAGGUUCACAGGCUAAUAUGGACAACAAAGGUCUCCACCCAGGACGCCACCUCCCAGUGAGUGGGUGCAUAUUUUAGAGCUUCAGGUGGUAACAACAUCUCAAAUUUUCUGUGUUUGGGAUCUUUUGAGGAAGUCAAGCGAAGCAUUCAGUCGAACGACCUUCACUGGGAUUUGCCUUGGCUUUCCUCACGCGCAGACUGGGCGUGUGGUGACCACAGGACUCACCACUGCUGGUUUGACCUUGCACACCUGGCUGAGGUCGGCUGUCGGGUUUCUUUACGGUGAUAUCUCUCCCCCUCCACCUGUCCUACUUGGAAAAGAAGCCACUCUGGGCAGCC